GCCUACGUAGCUCAGUUGGUAGAGCAACGGUAUCGUAAACCGUGGGUCGUCGGUUCAAAUCCGACCGUAGGCU
rfam:Microgenomates (Woesebacteria) bacterium GW2011_GWC1_38_13 TS75_C0008, whole genome shotgun sequence.